UCAGGACGAACGCUGGCGGCGUGCCUAAUACAUGCAAGUCGAACGAACUCUGGUAUUGAUUGGUGCUUGCAUCAUGAUUUACAUUUGAGUGAGUGGCGAACUGGUGAGUAACACGUGGGAAACCUGCCCAGAAGCGGGGGAUAACACCUGGAAACAGAUGCUAAUACCGCAUAACAACUUGGACCGCAUGGUCCGAGUUUGAAAGAUGGCUUCGGCUAUCACUUUUGGAUGGUCCCGCGGCGUAUUAGCUAGAUGGUGGGGUAACGGCUCACCAUGGCAAUGAUACGUAGCCGACCUGAGAGGGUAAUCGGCCACAUUGGGACUGAGACACGGCCCAAACUCCUACGGGAGGCAGCAGUAGGGAAUCUUCCACAAUGGACGAAAGUCUGAUGGAGCAACGCCGCGUGAGUGAAGAAGGGUUUCGGCUCGUAAAACUCUGUUGUUAAAGAAGAACAUAUCUGAGAGUAACUGUUCAGGUAUUGACGGUAUUUAACCAGAAAGCCACGGCUAACUACGUGCCAGCAGCCGCGGUAAUACGUAGGUGGCAAGCGUUGUCCGGAUUUAUUGGGCGUAAAGCGAGCGCAGGCGGUUUUUUAAGUCUGAUGUGAAAGCCUUCGGCUCAACCGAAGAAGUGCAUCGGAAACUGGGAAACUUGAGUGCAGAAGAGGACAGUGGAACUCCAUGUGUAGCGGUGAAAUGCGUAGAUAUAUGGAAGAACACCAGUGGCGAAGGCGGCUGUCUGGUCUGUAACUGACGCUGAGGCUCGAAAGUAUGGGUAGCAAACAGGAUUAGAUACCCUGGUAGUCCAUACCGUAAACGAUGAAUGCUAAGUGUUGGAGGGUUUCCGCCCUUCAGUGCUGCAGCUAACGCAUUAAGCAUUCCGCCUGG
rnacentral:rRNA from 2 species